rnacentral:lncRNA from 1 species
UGGCGCCCAUCUGCCGACGAUGGCCGGGCGUGGCGGCCAUCCGCCCCCCUGGUGCCCUACUAAUACCCCGCGGCCACCCCCCAAACCCUAGACCGCCCACAUCUAUCUCCCCCUCGAUCCCCCAUCUUCCUCCAUCCCCUUCUGCUCGAUCGCAAACUCGAGAACUCGCAUAGUGACCGUGCUCAUCGCUGUCGUUGCCGUGGCCACCAUCGUCGUCGCCGCUCGGGAGUACGUCCACGAGGUCUACCACGGUCGACAUCAUCCGUUUUGGGCGUCUCAUCAAGUCAGGGAGCUGCGUAGCCGACAUCGUCUUCGUCUUCUUCGUCGGGUUGCCGCCUUCUUGCCGUCGAUCCGCACCAUCCCGACCGUCCCCGGCCUCCCCGACCUCGUCCCCGGCUCCGUGGUGAGCUCCUUCCCCCGAAUCCCCCUUAUCCCCCAAGUUUUUGUCGUUGUAUGCCGCCGUCGCUGCCGCACCCGAAGUUUUUUGUGCGUGCGCUCUCGUGGCGCUUCGUCGAGUCCUGGCCGCCCCGGGGGCACUCCCUGGCCGCGCCCUGCGUCCGCUCGCCGCGCCCCGGGUGCGCUCAACGGUGAGUGCCCGCCCGCACAACCACAACCCUGGCUGCUGCCCGCGCGCUGUUGUUGCCGCUGGCUCUGUCAGGCCCCUGUACAUCUGUACAUGGCCGUGUGUGAGGCCGGCUUGGGCCAUUGCCGCUGGGACUAGCCCCCGUUUAGACUAGAUAAUAGUUAGUGGUUAGAUUAGUCUAUGUAUAGAUGACAUGUGGGUCCUUGUUAGUUUAAUCCCUAGUAGUUAACUAAUGUGCCUAUUACAUGUGGGCCACAAACCCUCUGUUGACCAGUCAAAUUGACUGGGUCAACCCAACCUCUGGCCCACUGUCAUACACUAGACUAGGAAACCCCUGGUACACUUAGCAUUUUACUUUUUAAUUCGAAUUAAUAAUGAUUUCAGAAUAUUUUUAAAACUUUGAAAACUCAUAUAAAAUAAUCCGUAGCUCGGAUGAAAAAGUUUUAUACAUGAAAGUUGCUCAGAACGACGAGACGAAUCGGAAUACGCCCUUCGUUCAUGUAUCACAUGCCCCUAGCAUAGCGAACAUCGAACUUUUCCCCUCCGGUUCGCGUGUCCAAAAAUGCCUAACUCCGGGAAAAUUUUCCCGGAUGUUAUUCCCCUUCGUUGGUAUCAUGUAGCACUGCGUUAGAAAACCCCUAGCCCCGCGUGUUACCCCCGUCAUGCAUUUGUGUUGCAUCUGUUUGCAUUAUAUUUACUGUUUCUUCCCCCUCUUCUCUUCGGUAGACCCCGAGACCGCUGUUGAUGCCCCUGUGAUCGACUACGUCGACGACGACCCUCCUUCCCUUUCAGCGGAGCUUCCAGGCAAGCCCCCCUUUGAUCAUCCCGAUAUUGCCCAUUCCAUUUUCUCAUGCUUGCAUUAGAUUUUGCUACUGUUAUUGUUUGCUCCUAUUCUGAUGCAUAGCCUGCUUUUGUAACCUGCUCAUUGUACCUUACCUGCUUAUCCUAAACUGCUUAGUAUAGGUUGGUUAGUGAUCCAUCAGUGACCUCGACCUUGUCCUUGUUGCCCCUGCUUCAUCAUCGAUGACUCGAUCAACGUGAUCGACGACCAGAGCCCGACACCUCACAUCACAUCACGCCCCUUUUUGUUGCGCCGACACUAUCCUGUAGUGGUGGAGCCUGGUCCGCCCUGCUCGCAACGACCCGGAGUGCAACAGGCGAUGGGCCCAGACCUCGGAGUGCUUAGGAUGUAGACCGGCGGAGACCUCUCUGCUGAGCCUAGGUAGGGCUACGACGUGUUGAUCUUCCGAGGCCGAGCAUUGACCCAGAAAAGUGUGUCUGGCCAGAGUAAUCAAGCGUGUUGGAAAACGUGGUGCACCCCUGCAAGGAAGAUAUAUAUUCGAAUACCGUGUCCACGGUAAUGGACGUUCAGACUUGUAUCCUGAUCUAUUAUAACUAGAACUGGUUACUUGAGACAUGUGAUGGAUAUGUGGCUCCGGGAUUGCUUUCUCUCAUGGAGUCGAGGAAGGAUCUCUGGGCAUUAAUUAUACAACAUGCUUGUUAAUUAUAAACUGCUAUUCUUUACUCUUCUACAUGCUGCAAGAUGCUUGAAGAUGCUAGUCUUCGAUAGGCUAGGCUUUCCCCUCUAUUCUGGCAUUCUGCAGUUCAGUCCACAGAUACAACCCUUCCAUUUGAUACCAAUGCAUACUUAGCAUAGAUCUGAUGCUUGCGAGUACUUUGGAUGAGUACUAAUGGUUGCUUUGCUACCCAUCCCCCCUUCUUUCUUCUUUCUGGUUGUUGCAACCAGAUGGUGGAUCCCUGGAGCCAGAUGCCACCGCCGAUGUUUGCUACUACGUGGAGACCGCCGACGACCAGGAGUAGUUAGGAGGUCCCAGGCAGGAGGCCUUGCCUCUUCGAUCGUUGAUGUUUGUGUUUGCCUUCUUAAGGCAGUCCUAUCUAACUUUAUGUCUGUACUCAGAUAUUGUUGCUUCCGCUGACGCUUGUGUAUCGAGCUUGUAUUCGAUCCCUCGAGGCCCCUAGCUUGUAAUAUGAAGCUUGUAUUAUUUUAAUUUGUGUCUAGAGUUGUGUUGUGAUAUCUUUCCGUGAGUCCCUGAAAUUGAUCAUACAAAUUUGCGUGUAUGAUUAGUGUACGAUCAAAUCGGGGGCGUCACAAGGUAAGUGAUAAAAACAAAUUUUUUGAUGUGGAAUGCUGCCUAACAUGUCAUAUCGUAUUCUUUUCUUUAUAGCAUGGACAUUUAGACUUUUAUGUGAUUCAAAG